GAGUUUGAUCCUGGCUCAGAGCGAACGCUGGCGACAGGCUUAACACAUGCAAGUCGAGCGGGCGUAGCAAUACGUCAGCGGCAGACGGGUGAGUAACACGUGGGAACGUACCUUUUGGUUCGGAACAACUGAGGGAAACUUCAGCUAAUACCGGAUAAGCCCUAACGGGGAAAGAUUUAUCGCCGAAAGAUCGGCCCGCGUCUGAUUAGCUAGUUGGUGAGGUAAUGGCUCACCAAGGCGACGAUCAGUAGCUGGUCUGAGAGGAUGAUCAGCCACACUGGGACUGAGACACGGCCCAGACUCCUACGGGAGGCAGCAGUGGGGAAUAUUGGACAAUGGGGGCAACCCUGAUCCAGCCAUGCCGCGUGAGUGAUGAAGGCCCUAGGGUUGUAAAGCUCUUUUGUGCGGGAAGAUAAUGACGGUACCGCAAGAAUAAGCCCCGACUAACUUCGUGCCAGCAGCCGCGGUAAU
rnacentral:rRNA from 1 species